rnacentral:rRNA from 1 species
GGCGGCGCGCCUAACACAUGCAAGUCGAACGGAGCUUGCACUUCUGAAGUUUCGGAUGGACGAGGUACAAGCUUAGUGGCGAACGGGUGAGUAACACGUGAAGAACCUGCCCUUCAGUGGGGGACAACAGUUGGAAACGACUGCUAAUACCGCAUAAGACCACAGUACCGCAUGGUACAGUGAUCAAAGGAUUUAUUCGCUGAAGGAUGGCUUCGCGUCCGAUUAGGUAGUUGGUGAGGUAACGGCCCACCAAGCCUACGAUCGGUAGCCGGACUGAGAGGUUGAUCGGCCACAUUGGGACUGAGACACGGCCCAGACUCCUACGGGAGGCAGCAGUGGGGAAUAUUGCACAAUGGAGGAAACUCUGAUGCAAGCGACGCCGCGUGAGGGAAGAAGGUCUUCGGAUUGUAAACCUCUGUCUUCAGGGACGAUAAUGACGGUACCUGAGGAGGAAGCACCAGCUAACUACGUGCCAGCCGCUGC